AUCAGGGACCAAACCACCUUAGCGAUUAGGUCAACUCUUAACCUAAUCGGGUCAAACCCAACUGAAUCCAAUUCAAUUGGAUUUGAUCCAAAAAUAAUUACUCAAUCAAAUUGAGUUAAUUAGCAAUCAAAUCACUAAUUAAACUUCUCAUAAAUACUGAGUCCAAAGUCGAUGGGCAAUCAGGCAUCAAAGUCCAUCGAUAUGAAACCCUGAUCGAAGAGUCCCAAACCAGUGGGACUCUUGACCCCGGUACCCAAAAUGUGUGGAACUCGUGAUCAGAGAAUCUUGAUUCUCGAUC
rnacentral:lncRNA from 1 species